ACACCGCGUGUAGCGGCUCGGUGAAGUCAGGCUUCUGUAGGCAGGUUUAUCUCUCAGCUCUCCGUUGUGGACUAAGGUUGUUGUCAAAGACUUGACGUAAAACACCCUGGAGUAGGUGAUGGUGAUUCGCAUGCUGCAGUCGACCUGUGUUUUUAUUUCUGACAUCAGAAUGUAUACCUCCUCUCUGCAGAACCUGAGAUCAGUGUAUCUGGCCCAGUGGGUUCUACAGCUGUCCUGCCGUGUGAACUGACGAGUGUAGACACUGACAGAUCGAAUAUCAAGUGGCGAAUCAAAUCUAAGAUUGUUUUUAAUGACUGGGUGUGGACUCGUAUCAGGGUGAGAGAUAUGAGGGUCGUGUGGACGUUCCUGUGGAGGAGCUGCGUGAGGGGAACUGUUCACUGGUGUUGUGUGAUCUAACCCUCACUGAUGCAGGAGUCUACACCAGCU